GCAAGUCGAACGCUUCUUUUUCCACCGGAGCUUGCUCCACCGGAAAAAGAGGAGUGGCGAACGGGUGAGUAACACGUGGGUAACCUGCCCAUCAGAAGGGGAUAACACUUGGAAACAGGUGCUAAUACCGUAUAACAAUCAAAACCGCAUGGUUUUGAUUUGAAAGGCGCUUUCGGGUGUCGCUGAUGGAUGGACCCGCGGUGCAUUAGCUAGUUGGUGAGGUAACGGCUCACCAAGGCCACGAUGCAUAGCCGACCUGAGAGGGUGAUCGGCCACAUUGGGACUGAGACACGGCCCAAACUCCUACGGGAGGCAGCAGUAGGGAAUCUUCGGCAAUGGACGAAAGUCUGACCGAGCAACGCCGCGUGAGUGAAGAAGGUUUUCGGAUCGUAAAACUCUGUUGUUAGAGAAGAACAAGGAUGAGAGUAACUGUUCAUCCCUUGACGGUAUCUAACCAGAAAGCCACGGCUAACUACGUGCCAGCAGCCGCGGUAAUACGUAGGUGGCAAGCGUUGUCCGGAUUUAUUGGGCGUAAAGCGAGCGCAGGCGGUUUCUUAAGUCUGAUGUGAAAGCCCCCGGCUCAACCGGGGAGGGUCAUUGGAAACUGGGAGACUUGAGUGCAGAAGAGGAGAGUGGAAUUCCAUGUGUAGCGGUGAAAUGCGUAGAUAUAUGGAGGAACACCAGUGGCGAAGGCGGCUCUCUGGUCUGUAACUGACGCUGAGGCUCGAAAGCGUGGGGAGCAAACAGGAUUAGAUACCCUGGUAGUCCACGCCGUAAACGAUGAGUGCUAAGUGUUGGAGGGUUUCCGCCCUUCAGUGCUGCAGCUAACGCAUUAAGCACUCCGCCUGGGGAGUACGACCGCAAGGUUGAAACUCAAAGGAAUUGACGGGGGCCCGCACAAGCGGUGGAGCAUGUGGU
rnacentral:rRNA from 1 species